rfam:Rattus norvegicus chromosome 13, whole genome shotgun sequence.
ACAGGACAAUGACCUAUGAUUUGACAGACAGUGUGGCUGCGUGUGUCUGUCAUUCUGUAGGCCAAUAUUCUGU